CACAGCCGGCAGGGGCGGUGGUGGCUCCCGGCGGGCCGGCGAUCCCGGUGCCGCCGCAGGACUCCGAGGGGCACCAAGGUGGAAUGGCAGGAAUGAGCAAAAAUCCCGGGCUGGUGGACGAGACGUAUCUGCAGAGGUCAACUGUAGAAACCAGGAACUGAAUCAUUACACUGGGAGAGACAAAUGCCUUGAAUUUGUUCCUUUUUCCAGUCCAUAAAUAUUCAUUGAGCCAGACAGGGAGAAGAAAAGCAUCAAAAGGACUAUAUCUGUGCCUUUCUAAUUGAAUGACGAACACAGGUCUUGCUGACCAUGACAUUAUAUGGUAGGAAUAUCCCUUUGGCUGAUUCAACAGUCCCAGCAGCGCUGCUUCCUACUUUCAGCCUCCUUGGAAGG